rnacentral:misc_RNA from 1 species
AAGUCGUAACAAGGUUUCCGUAGGUGAACCUGCGGAAGGAUCAUUAACACAAUUUUACUGUGAUAAAAUCCGUUGAAUUCUCUCUCGAGAAUUCAAUGGUAUCCACCCCAUUAUUGACGAACUUUUCUUAGAUGUUUCAAAAAACAUAGAGGCUGCUUAGUCUUUACGUAUUUUGAAAACAUUCUAAAAAACUUUUUCUUUACCCUAUAACAUUUUUUAACCCCUUUUACAACAUGCCUUAGACUGAAAUGAAAAUUUCUUUAUUAUCAAAAAAUGAUAAAAAACAACUCUUAACAACGGAUAUCUUGGCUCUC